GAUGAACGCUGGCGGCGUGCCUAAUACAUGCAAGUCGAGCGAACGGACGAGAAGCUUGCGUCUCUGAUGUUAGCGGCGGGCGGGUGAGUAACACGUGGAUAACCUACCUAUAAGACUGGGAUGACUUCGGAAAACCGGAGCUAAUACCGGCUAAUAUGUUGAACCGCAUGGUUCAAAAGUGAAAGACGGUCUUGCUGUCACUUAUAGAUGGAUCCGCGCUGCAUUAGCUAGUUGGUAAGGUAACGGCUUACCAAGGCAACGAUGCAUAGCCGACCUGAGAGGAUGAUCGGCCACACUGGAACUGAGACACGGUCCAGACUCCUACGGGAGGCAGCAGUAGGGAAUCUUCCGCAAUGGGCGAAAGCCUGACGGAGCAACGCCGCGUGAGUGAUGAAGGUCUUCGGAUCGUAAAACUCUGUUAUUAGGGAAGAAAAUAUGUGUAAGUAACUGUGCACAUCUUGACGGUACCCAAACAGAAAGCCACGGCUAACUACGUG
rnacentral:rRNA from 1 species